UACGUAGGUGCAAGCGUUAUCCGGAAUUAUUGGCGUAAAGAGCUCGUAGGCGGUCUGUCGCGUCUGCUGUGAAAACUGGGGGCUCAACCCCCAGCCUGCAGUGGGUACGGGCAGACUAGAGUGCGGUAGGGGAGAUUGGAACUCCUGGUGUAGCGGUGGAAUGCGCAGAUAUCAGGAAGAACACCGAUGGCGAAGGCAGAUCUCUGGGCCGUAACUGACGCUGAGGAGCGAAAGCAUGGGGAGCGAACAGG
rnacentral:rRNA from 1 species